rnacentral:rRNA from 1 species
UACGUAGGGGGCGAGCGUUGUCCGGAUUUAUUGGGCGUAAAGAGCUCGUAGGCGGCUCGUUGCGUCGGCUGUGAAAACCCGCAGCUCAACUGUGGGCUUGCAGCCGAUACGGGCGGGCUGGAGUUCGGUAGGGGAGACUGGAAUUCCUGGUGUAGCGGUGAAAUGCGCAGAUAUCAGGAGGAACACCGGUGGCGAAGGCGGGUCUCUGGGCCGAUACUGACGCUGAGGAGCGAAAGCGUGGGGAGCGAACAGG